rnacentral:tRNA from 1 species
GGGGUUGUAGCCUAGUGGUUAGAGCGUCGGACUCUCGACUUGAAGGUCGGGUGUUCGAUUCCCGAUCCUA